GGCCAUUGCUAUUGGGAUCCGAUUUAGCCAUGCUAGUCGCACGAGUUCAGACUCGUGGCGAAUAGCUCAGUAACACGUGGCCAAACUACCCUUCGGAACACAAUACCCUCGGGAAACUGAGGCUAAUAGUGUAUACCAUACCACCACUGGAAUGAGUGGUAUGCCAAACGCUCCGGCGCCGAAGGAUGUGGCUGCGGCCGAUUAGGUAGACGGUGGGGUAACGGCCCACCGUGCCAAUAAUCGGUAUGGGUCAUGAGAGUGAGAACCCAGAGACGGAAUCUGAGACAAGAUUCCGGGCCCUACGGGGCGCAGCAGGCGCGAAACCUUUACACUGCACGACAGUGCGAUAGGGGGAUCCCAAGUGCACAGGCAUAGCGCCUGUGCUUUUCGGUACCCUAAGGCGGUACCAGAAUAAGGGCUGGGCAAGACCGGUGCCAGCCGCCGCGGUAAUACCGGCAGCCCAAGUGAUGGCCGAUCUUAUUGGGCCUAAAGCGUCCGUAGCUGGCCGCGCAAGUCCAUCGGGAAAUCCACCUGCUCAACAGGUGGGCGCCCGGUAGAAACUGCGUGGCUUGGGACCGGAAGGCGCGACGGGUACGUCCGGGGUAGGAGUGAAAUCCCGUAAUCCUGGACGGACCGCCGAUGGCGAAAGCACGUCGCGAGAACGGAUCCGACAGUGAGGGACGAAAGCCAGGGUCUCGAACCGGAUUAGAUACCCGGGUAGUCCUGGCCGUAAACAAUGUCUGCUAGGUGUGGCUCCCACUACGAGUGGGUGCUGUGCCGUAGGGAAGCCGCUAAGCAGACCGCCUGGGAAGUACGUCCGCAAGGAUGAAACUUAAAGGAAUUGGCGGGGGAGCACUACAACCGGAGGAGCCUGCGGUUU
rnacentral:rRNA from 1 species